CCUGUAAUUAAAAAAUAUAACCACACACAUUCAAAUUCAAAAAUAUCCUAUAUUCAAAAAAAAUAUAAUAACAAAAAUAUAUUGUAUUUAAAAAACCAGACCAACAAUCGACAGAUCCCACAUUCAAAAGUAUCCUGUAUUAGUGUAUUUAAAAAAAAAGAUGUUGGAUCUUUCAAAAAAAGAUGUUCAAAAAAUAUCCGGUAUUUCAUGAUCAUUAUCCAUUAUAAUCAGUCUACAGAUCAGAUCGAGGAAGUCAGGAAGAUAAUCUGUUCAAAAAAAAUAUUAGGGUUAGGGUUAAGGAGAGAUCUAAUGAAGAAAGAAAGAGAAAUGGAGAGAUCGAAAAUAAGAAAUACCUGUGGCUGUGAAGUGUGAACGGGCGAGACUGUGAUUCCUGACUUUCUCUAAGCAUUGUGAAGGUGAAGGAUGAAAACCCUAAAAAAAGAAGAUGAACCCUAACUGGAAUAGUUGGGAAAUGGAAAUGGGAAUAACAACCAUAGUUUUCUUGGGUUUAUA
rnacentral:lncRNA from 1 species